rnacentral:rRNA from 1 species
GACGAACGCUGGCGGCGUGCUUAACACAUGCAAGUCGAACGGAAAGGCCCUGCUUUUGUGGGGCGCUCGAGUGGCGAACGGGUGUGUAACACGUGUGUAACCUGCCCUUGACCUUGGGAUAACUUCAGGAAACUGGGGCUAAUACCGGAUAGGAGCUCCUGCUGCAUGGUGGGGGUUGGAAAGUUUCGGCGGUUGGGGUGGGACUCGCGGCUUAUCGGCUUGUUGGGGGGGUAGUGGCUUACCAAGGCUUUGACGGGUGGCCGGCCUGGGGGGGUGACCGGCCACAUUGGGACGGGGGUACGGCCCGGACCCCUACGGGGGGCAGCGGUGGGGAAUAUUGCACAAUGGGGGGAGGCCUGAUGCGGCAACGCCGCGUGCGGGAUGACGGCCUUCGGGUUGUAAACCGCUUUCGCCUGUAACGAGGCGUGAGUGACGGUAAUGAGUAAAGAAGCACCGGCUAACUACGUG